rnacentral:lncRNA from 1 species
CGCUAACUGUGUCACAUGAGCCGUCGGAAGGUGACUUGAGAUGUGAAGAAAUGAAGGUGAAAUGUCCAGCUGUUAAGUGAAUUGGUAUGGUAUGGUGGCUAGUUCCAAAUGAAAUGGCUAAGCUUCACCCCUUUGAACACUCAACUUCUCAGGAACACCUCCGUAACCAAAUGUUUGGUGUUUUUCCUAUACACCAAGAAGGCAAUCAGUUCUCAGCAGAUUCUCCAGUGGACACGAGGUGAGUGUCUAAUUCAGUUUAAUUGUGAUACUAUUGGCUGGAAGGUCACAU